rnacentral:rRNA from 1 species
ACUCCUACGGGAGGCAGCAGUGAGGAAUAUUGGACAAUGGGCGCAAGCCUGAUCCAGCCAUGCCGCGUGCAGGAGACUGCCCUAUGGGUUGUAAACUGCUUUUAUACGGGAAGAAACACUCCCUCGUGAGGGAGCUUGACGGUACCGUAAGAAUAAGGAUCGGCUAACUCCGUGCCAGCAGCCGUGGUAAUACGGAGGAUCCAAGCGUUAUCCGGAAUCAUUGGGUUUAAAGGGUCCGUAGGUGGAUAAUUAAGUCAGAGGUGAAAUCCUGCAGCUCAACUGUAGAAUUGCCUUUGAUACUGGUUAUCUUGAGUCAUUAUGAAGUGGUUAGAAUAUGUAGUGUAGCGGUGAAAUGCAUAGAUAUUACAUAGAAUACCAAUUGCGAAGGCAGAUCACUAAUAAUGUACUGACACUGAUGGACGAAAGCGUGGGGAGCGAACAGGAUUAGAUACCCUGGUAGGAUAGCGU